rnacentral:rRNA from 1 species
AUGGCAUCUCACUACCUUAAGCCACAAGACCCAAACUUCCACAUUGUGCAUGAUCUAAUUAAAAAGGAUAGGAGGGCUUAUCCUCAUCUCAAAGAUUGCAUUGGUGCAAUUGAUGGGACUCAUAUAAGAGCUUCUAUUCCCGAUGGGCCACCAAAAGUUAGGUACAUUGGGAGGACGGGCAUGACAACUCAGAAUGUGAUGGCGGUAUGUGACUUCGAUAUGCACUUCACUUAUGCUUCAAUUGGGCAACCUGGUUCUAUGCAUGAUACAAAUGUAUUAUACCAUGCAAUUGAGAAGGACAGGCCCACCUUCCCCCAUCCUCCAAAGGGUGAGCAUUUCUUUUCAUUACAAGUUUACACAUGA